AGUGAACGCUGGCGGUAGGCCUAACACAUGCAAGUCGAACGGCAGCACAGUAAGAGCUUGCUCUUACGGGUGGCGAGUGGCGGACGGGUGAGGAGUACAUCGGAAUCUACUUUUUCGUGGGGGAUAACGUAGGGAAACUUACGCUAAUACCGCAUACGACCUACGGGUGAAAGCAUGGGAUCUUCGGACCUUGCGCGAUUGAAUGAGCCGAUGUCGGAUUAGCUAGUUGGCGGGGUAAAGGCCCACCAAGGCGACGAUCCGUAGCUGGUCUGAGAGGAUGAUCAGCCACACUGGAACUGAGACACGGUCCAGACUCCUACGGGAGGCAGCAGUGGGGAAUAUUGGACAAUGGGCGCAGGCCUGAUCCAGCCAUACCGCGUGGGUGAAGAAGGCCUUCGGGUUGUAAAGCCCUUUUGUUGGGAAAGAAAAGCAGCAGGUUAAUACCCCGCUGUUCUGACGGUACCCAAAGAAUAAGCACCGGCUAACUUCGUG
rnacentral:rRNA from 1 species